ACAGGAUCCUUCUAGCUGCUGCUGGGGCGGAAGCAGGGAGAACAGGAAGGAAUAGUCCGGGCAAGAGGCUCUGGGGCAGGACCCCGGCGGCGGCGGGCCUGGCAGAGAUGAGGAGCCUGAGGCCAGAGAGCAGGGGAACUCGUGGCUUCUCAGCCUUGUCUCUGCCUGCAAAGAAUGGAAACCUGGAAUUCAUACCAGAAGAUACAGAAACAACCAACAAGCAUAGACAAGCUGCUUGGAGUCCUGGAUGUGCAAACAGAGUGACAUGGCAUAGUUUCCCACCAACCAGGUUGCUGGCCAGUCUCUUGAAGAGGUGACCCCAUCAAGAACUCAGCGUUGGUCUCUGCUGCUGGAAGGUGGGGACCUGCCACAGCCAUGGUGCCAUACUGGGGCACACGCGCCGAGUCAGCCCUGCCGCGUGGCUGCAGUGUUCAUAGAUUCAUCGUGCAAGUGCUCGAGUGGCCCCGAGGCAAGUCAGUCUUCACCUCUCUGUUCCAGGCUGGACGCACACUCACCGUGCCCACCCAGUAACUGACUCCCCAGACCUCCUUGUCUCGGGUCUUCCCUUCUCCCAAGCGAGGGGCUGACCAGCCAGGCUACCGACUGCUGCCCAGUGUCCCCCUCGCGGCGCUGCCCCAGGACCAUGUCUCUCCACCAGUCUCUUAGGGAUGCUCCAAGAGGACUUUAGGGUGUCGGAGGUCCAUAUGUGGUUACAGAUCUAUCUGUGAGCCGAGCCUCCUCCCCCAGUUGACCCAAGGAACCCCUGCCCCGGAGCUACAGGCGGGCAGAAGAAGAGGCAUCAGAACAGAGAGGUGGGAAUGCGGGAGGCCAGCCCGCCUUGUUGCGGCCUGUGCACAGACGUGCUCAGCGCGAUCCGGAGUGCUCCCGUCUAUCACGUGGUGGAUUGCUGCUGGACCCGGCCACCUUAUGAUUACUGGAUCUGAUGGUGGCCAUGUCCAGUCACACGGUCACAUGAUGCCCCAUCACCAGACGCUGAGGCCCUGCAGGGUCCCUGUAGCAUUCCAGAAGCUCGGCUCCUGAAAUAGUUUUGCUGCGGCACUCGGAGCAUUCGCAUAGCAACCUCUUUCCAGGGCUGGCCAGCAGCUCCACCUGGGGCCGUGUCUACCACCAUCAGAUCUGCAGAUCAUAUGACUGUGGAGCAGCUUGACCACAGUCUGAAUCUUCUGGAGAGACUUCUCUUGCUCCGGGCCCCACCCACGCAGUCACCUGAUGGGUGGGUUGGGACAGCAUUCCCACGUGUGAUGUUUGCCGCAUCCUGGGGCCCUCUGAGUGCUGGGGCUUCUUUCCUCAUGGCUGGAGAUGGGAAGGAGCCAAGGAUUGGAUUGGUCUUCUCCUGGCCCCGUGACUCCAUUCUGACUAGUAUUCAUUCUCUGCAUGCAAAAACAGACCCCCAAAGUUCAGGCUUCCCAUUUGAGAGCCAAACUAUCCACUCCCCUCCACUACCACCAUGAUGUUGCAUCUCCUGAGCUCCUCCUCAUUCACUGAAGAAUUUGGAACCUGGAUCCCAAGCUGUCCUGUCUUCCUGGAGGAUUUUAAUAUCCACUUGGACAGUCUGUCCCAUAUCUGGGCUUUUGGUUCCUUGAUCCUUUCAACUUGAAAGACUUUAUCCUGUUGGGCUCUUAGACACUUCUCUGGAUCACUCAUUCAAACAGAGCACUAUUUCCUUUCUGCCCCAGCAUCUUUUAUAACAAUCAUGUUAUUAGAUGUCUAUUGCUAAUAAAAGAAAAUCACCCCAGAAACUGGCAGCUUCAA